CCUACGGGAGGCAGCAGUGGGGAAUAUUGCACAAUGGGGGGAACCCUGAUGCAGCAACGCCGCGUGAAGGAAGACGGUUUUCGGAUUGUAAACUUCUAUCAAUAGGGAAGAAAGAAAUGACGAUACCUAAAUAAGAAGCCCCGGCUAACUACGUGCCAGCAGCCGCGGUAAUACGUAGGGGGCAAGCGUUAUCCGGAUUUAUUGGGUUUAAAGGGUGCGCAGGCGGCGAGUUAAGUCAGCGGUAAAAUUUCGGGGCUCAACCCCGACGAGCCGUUGAAACUGGCUUGCUAGAGUGGGCGAGAAGUAUGCGGAAUGCGUGGUGUAGCGGUGAAAUGCAUAGAUAUCACGCAGAACUCCGAUUGCGAAGGCAGCAUACCGGCGCCCAACUGACGCUCAGGCACGAAAGCGUGGGUAUCGAACAGGAUUAGAUACCCCGGUAGUC
rnacentral:rRNA from 1 species